rnacentral:lncRNA from 1 species
UUUUCCCAUGGUAAUGGUGUCAGAAAACAGUGCUUGCAAGGUAUGCAUAUAUGAAGAACUAUAUGAUUAGUUGUUGUUACACAACGGAUGAAGAGACACUAGAGGAGAUAUUACAGAAGCAUCUGCAACAGGAAAUAUCAGGACAUGUCAACACAGUCCUUGUUGAGCUCUACAGCAAUGCUGCAAUUAAGUCCCAAUCGAACUGUAUAUACACUAGAUCAAUGUGAGGUGAUAUGACUGA